GCAAGACGCGGAGCCCCGCGCGCGUCCAGGGCCGGCCGCAGCGCGCGGUGCCGCAUCCCCGGUGCGUGCGCCCCAGCCAGCGACUGGAGCUCCUCGCGCGCGGGUAUGGAGCUCCCGGCGGGACCGGCCACCUCUCCUGGAAGGCAAGGCACGGCGUCUGAAGUCUCUGGCCCGGGUCCGAGUUGAAUGACACUCCGUUAAUGAGGCCCCUCCUGGGCGCCGCUUGGCUCGCAUCUUGGAUCCCUGGUGUGUCCAGGGCAGACGGGCGGCGAAUUUGCGCCACCCCUGGGGAUAGGCUGUGACCCCAAUGUAUCAAGCAGGCCGUGAGGGCGGCCCUGGCGCACGGAUGGAGCUGGGUUGGUCCCUCUCCGAGCCCCCGCUGCGUCCCUCCGGCCCCCCCCCGCCCCGGGGUCCCAGGUCCGGCCCCCUCCAGCUGCGCGCUCCCGCAGAUCCCUUUCCCCACGGGCUGCUUUCUCUUUGCCUGCCGGCGCCAGGGGUCUCCUCCCAGGAAGGUCUUACCUGGCUAUCUCUCUUGCUUGGCAGUAGCCCUCAGGGCACAGACCCCUGAGAUCCGUCCACCAAAGCCGGGGGCGAUGGGGGAUGGGUGGGGGAGGUGGGGUCACAGCCCGCGCCCCUCCAACCCUGGCCCCCACAGGAGCCGAAGGUCGGCCUUUCUUUCCCCUCUCGCCCCUGCCUGAAAAGCCUGCCCGUGGUGGCAGAGGGCCGGGAAGGGGCUCACCCCGGCAACAGGUGCGGCGGGGAGAACUUGACUUUGGAACAGCCGAGGGUACCUUGAGGCGCAUCCCUGCCUUCCACCUGUGCCCUGGAGCCGGCAGCCUGCAGGCAAGGAGGACAAGGAGAUGUGAGCGGACCAAGGCAGCGUGUGUAAUGUCUGUGGAAUGGAACCGGAUGAAGAUGCACCGGCCUCCCACGUGGUGAUGGAUUCCCAGGCGCUGGCUUCCACUCGGUGAAAACCAGGAACACCCCCCACCCCCCUACACACAGCCGGACCCUCUGGUUUCCUCCGUGGAGCGUGGCUGGACCAGACCUGCAUAUUUCGCCGGGAAAUGGUUGCCCUAGCCAGGGUGCUCUUCUGGAUUCGAAUCCCUGAGUGAGACUUCCGGCUCCUCUGCUGGCUCUGGAAGCACCCGGGGACCCGACUUUCCACCCAGACCGCUCGGAAAUCUCGUAGCAUUUUGCUUCCUGGGGACUUCCCUCUGGCACCUGCUUUGUCUGGGUCCAAACUGGAUGGCUGCUGCCCAGCCCUUCGCCAGCCAGCCGGGGCCUCCCCGGCCACCCUGUCAGGCUGUUCUCUCUGCCCCCUCUGGAUGGCCGCAUUGUGACAGAGACCUCCAGGGCUCACCAGAUGUGCAGGUGCCCCGUGGUAUCUUCCAGUCUUCCGUAUGGUGAGAUUAGGGCCGCGUGGUCCUCUGGGCAGUGGACUGUGAGUGAGCCAAGGCACUUGGCAGCGGCUGGUCCACCUCCGUCUGGCUCCUCUCCUGCCUUGGAGGAAAUUCAUUCCCGAUUUUGCAACAGUGAGUUAGCGGAGCCCCACAAAGUGCAGACAGGGAGGGAGAAGAGCUCACCUGAUAAGCAAACAUUGGCUACAGGGGAAUGGGCAGGGCAUCACCAAGGAGAAAGGGAAGCGGUAUUCCCCAGGGCUAGCGGAGCUAAAGGCGGCGAUGACGAUGCAGCGAGCCACCCACGGUCACUGCGGCUGCCGUGGCCUCUCAGGACCUGUGAGUCCGGGUUCAGUCGCCAGCUCUGGAGGUACCACCAGAAGCGGGAAAUGUUUCCUCUCCCAUCCGGACCCUCAAGCUCCCUGCCAGCAGGAUCCAGCCAGCUGCCAGCUAGCAAGGGAGUCUGGCAAGUGUAGUUUGCCGUCUUCCAUCCUGCUCUAGUGCGGAGGAGAGUGUGGAAGGCUGGGGAUGGCGUCGAGAGGCAGCAAGCCAGCAACACCUGGAACACAGAGUGACUGUAAGGUGCAGGGCAGAGCCCUGGCCCCUGUGUUAGGAACGGGGCUGAGCCGCUGGGAUGAAAUGCCGCUGGUGGCAUUGGUUGCCCUGCUCUGUGUGGUGCUGGAGUGGACCCUUUAGUUUCCCUCUGGGAAAAGGUGUAUGGCGAGUGCAUUGGGGAACCCUCCAUGCAGUAGUUCACGUAUGUAUCGACGGGAUUGGGCCGUGGGGUGCCCAGACAUUUGGCCCAACGUUGUCCUGGACAGACUCCCACUUUAGUCAGGGGUCUGAAUAAAGCAGACAGCCCUUUUUAUUGUGGGUGGGCCUCACCCCACCAAAGAAAGACCUGAAUCCAACAGGGAGGCAGAGGCAGAGGGAACUCCUGGGCCCUGACCACUCGGGUGGGGACACGGGUCCUCUCACGCUUCAGACGUGGGUGCUUGGGGGUCCAGCCUGUUGGCUUUCCGACCCACACCACCGGCUCCCCCGGCGCUCAGACCUGCAGACAGGCACAGCAUCACCCGAGGGCCAUCUGGGUUGCCAGCUUGCUUGGUGACAUGGAGGUCCCAGCACUUUUUGGGCUGCACAGCUAUGUGCGCCAGUCUUGGCAAACCUCACUUUCUCUUUCCCGGCAUACAGAGAUGGGUGUUGACACGUAACACGCAUGUCCUUUUGAGUUCUGUAGAGAAGCCUCACACCCCCUCAUGUCUAAAAAUUCUUCGUGUUCACGCCUGAGUGCCCUCCCCCCUGGAAUUCUAAAGGAGAGAAGGACCCGUCCCAGGCCUCUCCCCAGCUUCUGGGCCGUCCCUGGCUGGGAGAAGCCUUGGCUGACCCCUGCCUUCAGCCUCACAUGACCCUCUCCCUGCUGUGUCUGCGUCCAGACCGUCCCUUUGUAGAGCAAUACCAAGCAUAAGGGGUUAAGGCUCACCCUAAGAAUCUUGUGGUUUUUUUUUUUUUUAAUUUAUUUGAAAGUCAGAGCUAGAGAGAGAGAGAGAGAGAGAGAGAGAUCUUCCAUCUGCUGGUUUGCUCCCCAAAUGGCCACAAUGGCUGGGACUGGGGCAGGGCCAGGCUGAAGCCAGGAGUCCAAAACUCCAUCUGGAUCUCCCACGUAGGUUUCAGUGGCCCACGCUUUGGGGCCAUCUUCUGCAGCUUUCCCAGGUGCCUUAGCAGGGUGCGUGCGGAUUGGAAGUGAAUCAGCCUGGAUAGGAACCAGCCAUCAUAUGGGAUGUAGGCAUUGCAGGUGGCUUUGUAACCUGUGGUACCACAAUGCUGCCUCUGACCUUGUCUUUUCAAAAGCUUAUUUAUUUCAAACAUAGAGACACAGAAAGAAAUGUCCUCUCUACUGGUUCACUCCUCGAAUGCCUGUAACAGCUGGAGCUGGGCCAGGUUGAAACCAGAAGCCCAGAACUCAAUCCAGGUCUCCCUCGUGGGUGGCAGAGAUCCAAGUACUGGAGCCGUCUUCCGCUGCCUCCCAGGGUCCAUGUUAGCAGGAAACUGGAAUCAGAAGUGGAGCCAGGACUCGAACCCAGACACUCUGAUAUGUGGGGUCCCAAGCAGUAUGUGCACCCCUGUGCCAAACGCCUACUGACCUCAUCUUUAAGCUUGUCACAUCUGCAAUGACCUCGUCUCCUUAUAAAGUACAGGGAGCGCAGGACUUCGCCAGCAUGAACGGGAGGCAGGUGCAGUCCAGGCUUCAGCAGACCUACGGCCCCACCAGAGGCGCUACACGGACACCAGGGCCUUCAUCGGGAGUGGGGGUGCCUGCCACAGAGACAGUGCUGUCCUGCUCACCUUCUGUCUUCCUUCCCUUCGAUUCAUAUUCCCUUCAUCCUCCCCCAUUUUUUUCCUUUGGCUUUUUAAAAUUAUUUUUUUUAAAGAUUAUUUAUUUGAAAGAGCUACAAAGAGAGAGGGAGACUGGUUGUGUGUAGGGGUGGGUGUUUCACUCCCACGAUGGCUGCAACAGCUGGGACUGGGCCAGGCUGAAGCUAGGAGCUUCUUCCGGGUCUCCACGUGGGCGUGGUACUUGAGCCAUCUUCCACUGGUUUCCUAGGCCAGCAGGGAGCUGGGUCAGAAGUGGAGCAGCCGGGACUCGAACCUGCGCCCAUAUGGGAUGCUGGCAUUGCAGGUAGCAGCUUUGCCUGCUACGCCACAAUGCUGGCCCCUGCUUUUCUAAAUUUUAGAGGCAGAGAAAGAGAGUGCAAUGAUUCAUUGGUUCACUCCUCAAAUUCCUGUAGCAGCCAGGCUGGGAACUCAGUCCCGGUCUCCCCAUGUGGGUGGCAAGGACCCAAAUACUUGAGCCAUCACUGUGCCUCCCAGGGUGCACGUUGACAUGAAGCUAUGGUCGGGAGCCAGGACCAGGACUUGAAUCCAGGUACAAUGAUAUGGGAUGUGGGCAUCUCUACUGUCCCCUUCCAUCAAAGGUAGCGCAGGACAAAGGUCUUUCUGUGGUAUUGCUCCAUGAAUCUUGGUAUCGUACACACGAUGUUCCCCAACCUCCACCACUAUCCUGACCUGCAGCACUGUGGUCUCCAGAUGUGCUCUCAUGAAGGAAACGCGGGGCGCUGUGGUGACAUGGGUGAAGACGCCGCCUGCAAUGCCAGCAUCCCAUAGCCAGUAUCGUUGCUGGUUCGAGUCCUGGCAGCUCCAUUUCCAACACGGCUCCCUGCUAAUGUGCCUGGGAAUGGCCCAAGUCUCCUGCCACCCGUGUGGGAGAGCCGGAUGGAGUUCCAGGCUCCUGGCUAUGUUGUGGCUAUUUGGGGGGUGGGGGUGGGAACCAGCAGGUGCAAGCACACUCUCUCCCCUUCUCUCUUUACUUCCCUCUGUAACUCUUUCAAACUCUUUUAUAUUGGAAAAAGAAAAAAAGGAAAGAAAGGAAGGGAGGGAGGGAGGAAGGAAAAGAAAACCCAAGGGUUGGCGUUCUGCAGUGGGUUCGUGGCUGGCUGACGAGACCCUGGAUGGUUAGUCAUUUCUGGACUUUCCUUGUCAAAACAAAACUACCAACCAUGUGUGUGUGUCCAUCCUAAGGGAACUGAAAACACGUCCACACAAAAACUUGCACAUGGGUGUUUACAGUGGCAGUAUUCCUAAGAGCCAAAAAGGGCAAACAACCCCAAUGUCUGUCACCUGCUAAAUGGACAAACCACUUGGCCAUUACAAAACAGAAUCCUUUUUGUAAGAUUUAUAUAUUUGGGGUCGGCGCUGUGGCAUAGUAGGUUAAGUCUCUGCUUGUCACACUGGCAUCCCACGUGGGCACCAGUUUGAAUCUCAGCUGUUCCACUUCUGAUCCAGCUCCCUGCUAAUGCUCCUGGGAAAGCAGUAGAAGAUGGCCCAAGUCCUUGGGCCCCUGCACCCACAUGGGAGACCCAGCAAGAAGUCUCCUGGUUGGCUCCUGGCUCUGGAUUGUCCCAGCUCCAGCCAUCGUGGCCAUUUGGGGAGCACCACCACACUGGUCCUAGGCGUCAUGUAUUGGGACAGGCUAUCCCGUGGAUGAACCUUGACAUGCUAAGUGAAGCAAGGCCAGUGCAAAGCCAUAUAAUGCUAGGAAAUGUCAAUCACCAAGGAGACAAAAAGGUUAGUGGUCGCCAGAAGGGGCAGUGAGUGCUAAUGGGUGUGGGGUUUCUUUUGGGGCUGACAAGAAAUUCUAAGACAGACAAUGAUGGUGAUUACACCCUGAGUAUACAAAAAAUUACUGUAUUAUAAUUUAAAUGAAUUGGGUAUGUGGGGCUGGCAUUGUGGCAUAGUGGAUAAAGCCACUGCCUGCAAUGCCAGCAUCCCACAUGGACACUGGUCCAUGUCCCAGAUGCUCCACUUCCCAUCCAGCUCCCUGCUAAUGCGCCUGGGAAAGCAGCGGAAGAUGGCCCAAGUCCCUGGGCCCCUGCACCUACGUGGGAGACCCGGAUGAAGCUCCUGGCUUUGUCCAGGCCCAUGCCCCGGCCAUUGUGGCCAUCUGGGGAGUGAACUAGUGGGUGGAAGUUCUGUGUCUGUGUAACUCCUUCAAAUAAAUAAAUUU